rnacentral:tRNA from 2 species
GCGCCCGUAGCUUAAUGGAUAGAGCACAACGCUUCGGACGUUGCGGUUGGGGGUUCGACUCCCUCCGGGCGCG